rnacentral:rRNA from 1 species
AUGCCGUGUCUCGUCUACGACAGCAGGAGCGUGUGCCCUCUCUCAUCCUCGCUCCUCCCUUCCUGGUCAACACAGCCGCCGCGCCACCUCCGUCCUCCGGUCCUCCCUCCCCCCCUGCAGCCCCAGCUCGCGAGGAAGCCGCGGGAGGAGCAGCUCAACCGGGCGUCGCCGGCCGGAGAAGGAGGAGAGGCGCGGAUGCCAGCCAGGGAGGCGGAUCGGCUCGCCCUCUGCAUCCACCUUGCUGCUCAUGGCAGCAUGUGUGCGGAAGCGGGGACAGGCGACCAUGAGCAGAUGUCAUCGGCGGACGCACGGUGCGCGAAGUCCGGUAAGAUGGGCGCGGCCUCCCCGCAGGCAUUUCAAGAUGGCGUGCCCCACGGCUCGGAACGCGCGUGCCUGGCACAUAGGAGGUAUGCCUCGGAGCAAGCUGGUGGCAACGUGCACCGCGAGGCCCCGGAGCAGCCCAACCAGUACAUAGCCCCUCCGUACUGGAGGAACCCUGCCGCCGACGCAGCCAGCGACGGCGACGCGUAUGAGAGCUCGGCCUUGGUGGCCCGCGAGCCGUAUGGGAGGAUCACGUCCGCGCUCGAGGGCAGCAACAAGUGCGGCACGAGGAGGUGCGCCGGUCUACAAUGA